rnacentral:rRNA from 1 species
GAUGAACGCUAGCGGCAGGCCUAACACAUGCAAGUCGAGGGGCAUCGCGGUGCAGCAAUGCACUGGCGGCGACCGGCGUACGGGUGCGUAACGCGUAUGCAACCUGCCCCGCACCGGGGGAUAGCCCGCCGAAAGGCGGAUUAAUACUCCAUGGUCCCGGGGGCCCGCAUGGGCAUCCGGGUAAAGCCUUGGCGGUGCGGGAUGGGCAUGCGUGCCAUUAGCUGGCUGGUGGGGUAACGGCCCACCAGGGCAACGAUGGCUAGGGGGUCUGAGAGGAUGGUCCCCCACACUGGUACUGAGACACGGACCAGACUCCUACGGGAGGCAGCAGUGAGGAAUAUUGGUCAAUGGGCGGAAGCCUGAACCAGCCAUGCCGCGUGCGGGAUGAAGGCCCUACGGGUUGUAAACCGCUUUUCCCCGGGAAGAAUAACCCCGAUGAGUCGGGUGAUGCCGGUACCGGGGGAAUAAGGGAUCGGCUAACUCCGUGCCAGCAGCCGCGGUAAAACGUCUA